UUCAUUAUACUGUAAUUGUCCAGGACUCAGUUUCACCGGCUCCAUGGAAAUGCUCUGAAGAGUUCUUUUUGCAUCAAAUUAGAAACAGAGAUCCUCUAAAAAUAGGGUUUCCAAAUAUAUGGGCUUUGCGAUUAGUUCGCCAACUGCUGCACUGGAAUCCUGAGGAUCGGCUGAGUGUUGAUGAAGCUCUGAAGCAUCCAUAUUUUUCACAACAUGCAAACAAUCAAACUGAUGGAAAGGUUUAACUUGCCUCUGUCUAUGCUCAGUUCCACAUGCUUUGAAGAAAUGAGUCGAGCAGACUGAGUUUUGGGUUGGGAUGUUUGCUCCUCAAGCAGGCAGGAGUCAUUACCGAAGUGGUUUUUUAUCAGGUGAGUGGUUAGAUGAGAACGUUAGCACUGUGUAAGUAUGCAAUUCCAUUGAUUAGAAAAGAAAUAGAAAGAAAAAAUAAAAUGUAUCAGUAAAGAAGCAUUUUUGUAUUUGUACAACUAUGCAUCCCAAGAUAUAUAGAGAACAGAGAACUGGUCAUUCCAUCUGUUGCGCUACAGCAAAAGAAUCAAUGGAUUAGACCUACCUACUAUCACUGUGCUGCAUUCUUCUUUAUUGGAAUCACAAUAACCGACAGGUUGUCCAUACUGCCCUCAUCAAAUGCCUUGUGGACUAUGCAAUCUGCUAGGGAGGAUAAUGAACAUAAAGGAGAGUUGUUGGGGAUCUCCUUUUCUUGAGCCUGUAGUAUAUUGCACACGGUCUGUGGAGCCAUAGUCUCAAAUAUACCAUCAGUUCCGAUGACUAUGUAGUAGUCCUUGCUGGUCAGAUUUCGCCAAUUUAUUUCCGGUUCAGCAAUAACACCAUAUCUAAGAUUUUAACCAA